CCCUUAGAUGUUCGGGGCCGCACGCGCGCUACACUGAAGGAAUCAGCACGUCUUUCUCCUUGUCCGAAAGGACUGGGUAACCCGCUGAACCUCCUUCGUGCUAGGGAUUGGGGCUUGUAAUUCUUCCCCAUGAACGAGGAAUUCCCAGUAAGCGCGAGUCAUAAGCUCGCGUUGAUUACGUCCCUGCCCUUUGUACACACCGCCCGUCGCUACUACUGAUUGGAUGGUUUAGUGAGAUCCUCGGAUUGGUCCCGGAGCGGCCUCUGGUCGUGCCGGAGUGCCGAAAAGAAUGUCGAACUUGAUCAUCUAGAGGAAGUAAAAGUCGUAACA
rnacentral:rRNA from 1 species